CAAAGGCUUGGUCCUAGCUUUUCUAUCAUCUCUAGCCCAGAUUACACAUGCAAGUCUCCGCUCCCCCGUGAGAAUGCCCUGCAGUUCCCCUACCCGGGAACAAGGAGCUGGUAUCAGGCACAGCCUAAUAAAGCUACCGCCCACGACACCUUGCUUAGCCACACCCCCAAGGGAUUUCAGCAGUGAUUAACCUUAAGCCAUAAGUGAAAACUUGACUUAGCCACGGCUAAUAGGGCCGGUAAAUCUCGUGCCAGCCACCGCGGUUAUACGAAAGACCCAAGCUGAUAGAUGCCGGCGUAAAGAGUGGUUAAGUAUCUUGAUAGAACUAAAGCCGAACGCCCUCAAGACCGUUAUACGUUUCCGAAGGUAUGAAGCCCAACUACGAAAGUAACUUUAACUAUAUCCGACUCCACGAAAGCUGUGAAACA
rnacentral:rRNA from 1 species